rnacentral:rRNA from 1 species
UCUGGGUUGCAUGGCCGCACGCCGUGGUUGGUUCUCCGUUGUGAGGACUGCCUGGUGUCGUGGUUGUGUGAUCUUUCUGCCGUAUCUGUUUAUUCAGGUGCUGGUUUUUUUAACUGGCAUGCUCUUGGAUGCCUUUAAUUGGGUGUCCGGAGCAGACGGCACGUUUACUUUGAACAAAUUUGAGUGCUCAAAGCAGGCUUAAUGCCUGAAAAGUCUUGCAUGGAAUAAUNGAAUAGGACUUCGGUUCUAUUUUGUUGGUUUUCGGAUCCGAAGUAAU